GGGUAGUGGCCAUUGUCGUGACUUGCCAGAAAGUUUGGAUCUGUCAGCUGGAGCUCGGCUGGGAUAUCUGAUGGAGCGGAGUGGCUCUCUGUCCCGUCGAUCUGAGAGAAGCUCGGAAAUUUUUGAGGUUGCUGAUGAGUCUACUGUUGUCGGAUGCCUCAGGCAUCGAUGCUACAGGUGGGAGUCAUCUGCUGUAGAAGCUCGGAUGGAG
rnacentral:lncRNA from 1 species